GAUGAACGCUGGCGGCGUGCUUAACACAUGCAAGUCGAACGGAAAGGCCCAAGCUUGCUUGGGUACUCGAGUGGCGAACGGGUGAGUAACACGUGGGUGAUCUGCCCUGCACUUCGGGAUAAGCCUGGGGAACUGGGUCUAAUACCGGAUAGGACCACAUUUUGGAUGGAGUGGUGGAAAGUUUUUCGGUGUGGGAUGAGCUCGCGGCCUAUCAGCUUGUUGGUGGGGUAAUGGCCUACCAAGGCGUCGACGGGUAGCCGGCCUGAGAGGGUGUACGGCCACAUUGGGACUGAGAUACGGCCCAGACUCCUACGGGAGGCAGCAGUGGGGAAUAUUGCACAAUGGGCGCAAGCCUGAUGCAGCGACGCCGCGGGGGGGAUGACGGCCUUCGGGUUGUAAACUCCUUUCGCUAGGGACGAAGCGUUAUGUGACGGUACCUGGAGAAGAAGCACCGGCUAACUACGUG
rnacentral:rRNA from 1 species